GAUUAUCGAAGGAUUUAGCCUUAAUUCAUAAUCCC
ncrna:unclassified sequences S4-Flavobacteria ribosomal protein leader